CAUCUUCUCCCAUCCUUCUUUGGUAUAUAGUAGGGUGGGGGAAGAUGGGACAC
rnacentral:miRNA from 1 species